GAGAAUUUUAUGUAUGAAUACUGUAUCUAUCUUAUUUCCUCCCUCCCUCUGCCCCUUCCAACUCUCCCCAUGCCUCUAUUAUUAAGUGUAUGGCUGCUUACUCUUUAAUUAUUGCUGUUUUACACACACACACACACACACACACACACACACACACACGAGUUCCUAUAUGUUCUUGUUCCUAUAUAUAUGGUAUAUGUAUUUAGGACUCACUGCAUGCAUGGGACUGGAAAACCGAACCGGGACACAUACCUGGAGAAGAUGAAUCCAAUCUCUCUCAGCCCCACUAAUUGCCUGUAGGGUUUAUCACUGGCUUGGAACUUGCCAAGUGGGCUAAGCUGACUGGCCAGCGAGUCUCAGAAAUCUAUUUGUCUUCCUAACAAACAUGCACUACUGCGGAUGAAUUCUUUUAAGAUGUGGGUUUUGGGGACUGAAACUCAGGUCCUCGUGCCUGCAUGGCAAGCUACCAUCCCAGCCCCACCGUGGUGACUUCAGUCAAUUGUCCCAUCUGGAUGUCCGACACGUAUCUUGCUGGUAGGUUGUAAAACAACUUCUGUUUUAGAUGGCAUGGCUAAAGCUUUCUAUGGGAUCAUAGAUCACUAGAUAAUACCCACAGUUUGCGUUAACCUGUGUGUUCCUAGUCAAAAUCCAUAGCAGUUGUCUGAGAUCAGGACCUCUGAGAAUAAUAAGAAACAGCAACAACUUGGAAGAACUGUGUGUGGGUAACAACGCUUACUGGAGAUCAGUUCUCUCCUCUCUGGUUUUGCUUUUGCUUAGAUCACCAACUUUCCUGCCUCUUUCUGGUGCCAAUUUUGAGGGCAGGAGGCUCCAAGGCAUUUUCUGGAACAGAAGAGCUCUGAGUGCCAUGUGUCUGCCUUUGAAUGCAGCUUGUCUCUCUGCUGGUCUCUUAAAGGGACCUAAAUGUGCAGUUUUUGCAAAACCUUCCCUCUGAGGCUCAUGCCUCCCCUCCUCUUUCAGAGAGAGCAGCAAACAGCUUGUGAGUUAUUUAUGACCUGGUUCGUGCCAAAGAGAGUUUGGUGGGAGCUGGGGGGCAGACUUCGGGGCCCUGUAGAAUGGUAGAGACUCUUCAGAGAAGUCCCAGUACCUUGGAUCCCGAGGAGAUGUGAAGCAGGGACAAAGCUGGAUUGGUGGCUCUGGUCACGUGACAGUACUCUGGCAGGCUAGGGUACAGAAAGGGGGACCUGACCUGGGGACUGUCUCCAAGAUCAGUGCUCAUGUCCAAUGUCUUCCUCCAGCAAGGCUCCUCAAUGGCAUCCUCUAAGUUUUCUCUCUUUCAGGGUACAAAAAUGACUAGAUUGGCUAAGAGUUAUACCAGGUAAUACUGGAGUGUGUUUCCAUUGUAACACUUCAAACCUCAAUGUGAGACAGGUAACUAAAGUGGACACUCAUAGACAGGAUAAACCACGGCGGAGCAUUCAUAGGUGACGACAGCUAAGUCAGACGCUCUUUUUGAGUUUACCAUCUAGAUGGGGUCUGAAGGGUCGAGCCAUACCUGCUGCAUCUCCACACUAAGAAGCAGCCGGUGUAAGCAGACAUCAUUCUGAACCUUCUGUGGUACUAUGACAACCAAAAAAAACCCUCACCGACUCCUGUGGAUCACCAGCCAGCUACUUCUUAGACCUGGGAGAUUGCUUUGCUUUGGCACUGCCCAAAGAUGGCAGGAGUCCUUUCAUCCCAGAGCCUUGUUCCUGCCACAACGGCAGCACAUUAUUGUAAAACUUCUGCGUUUCUUUCUGCCUCCAAAGCAAAGCAAAGGACUCAAGGAGAGCAUUGGAAGGAAGAGCCCAAACCCUGGCACUUCAAUUGCUGGUAGAACAUAGGAGCAUCAGGGGCAUUUGGCUGUGAGGAGGAUGUUUCCAGCAAACAAGAAGAAGCCUCUGCUUGGAGAAGACGCAGGAGAUGGAGAGAUGAGUUCAUAAUACUACACACCAAGAAUCUGGAAAAUGGUCAAAAAUAUAAGUUCUAGUUCUUUCCAUAAAUAAAUGAUCAAUAGAAGAAAGAGGGGUGACAGGUAACAGGGGAGCUGUCACAGACAAAAGCUGAUGUUCCUUUAGGUCUGAAAGAGUAUUGUCAGCACAGAGUGGUUGCAGCAGUGACGUGUGGAGGGAGAAGAGGCACAUAAAUCAGCCUUUCCUUGUCUUUGAUUUUACUUCCUUCAUAGUCGUCCAAGGUCUAUAAACGCUAGGUGGAAACACUAAUAUCUAUCUAUCUAUCUAUCUAUCUAUCUAUCUAUCUAUCUAUCUAUCUAACACAUAUAUAUCACAUAUACACAUAUAUACAUAUAUACUAUAUACAUACAGUAUAUAUGCAUACACUAUAUUUACACUAUGUAUUUGCAAAUAUAUAUACAUUAAUAUGUAUGUGUAUAUAUAUGUGUAUAUACACACACACAUAUAUUUGCAACUGUACACUAGUGAGAAUAGCAUAAUGAAAUCUUGAGACAUCACACUUCAUCCCACCUAGAGUAUGAAUCAUCGUUCCUUUCAGUGUGUCUGCACAGUAUGUGCUACCUUAAUUAAUCAUUUAGUUGCCAUUGGUUACCAAAGUAGUGAUCUUAGUGUUUGCAUACAGGUACUCACCAGGGUCCUUAGAAUGUAUCUUCCUAUAGAUAUUAAUGGGGUGGGGAUCAGGAGCUACUGGACUCUGAUUCUCAUCUGUUAUUAACAUUUGUAUUGUUGCUCUAAGUGAUACCCACAGAUCCCAGCUACUGCUUGGUAAAUCUUAGCCCAUCCUCCUCCUUGGCUGGCUGAUGGGCUCAUACUUAUGUCUGAAAGAAGUCCCUCCUUGGGAGAUCUUCUCUGUCUGUUUAAUGCUAAGUAGCUGACACACCUCUACUCUGUUCAGUGGACCCUGUGGCUUGGCAUUUGUGACUAACCAUACACAGAUGUAUCUCAAUAUUUAAAAUGCUGGAGUGAAGAUCCCCAUGUCAUUAUAAAGAAUAGCUUAGAGAGAUCUGGAUCCUUUACCAGCCUCUCCUAGGCCAGUGUGUUCCAUCACAACUGUACAAUAGUACAAAUCAGGAAUCCGGCUUUGCUCAACCCACCUACCCAUCCUGCAUGAGUUCCAUGUGCAUGCUUCUCUCUCUCUCUCUCUCUCUCUGUAUAUGUAUGUGUGAGUGAGUGUGUGUGUGUGAGUGUGUGUGUGUGUGUGUGUUAUGAUUUUACCAAAUAGUGUCUACCCCAGUCAAGACACAGAAUAUUUCUGUAUCUUGGUUCCUGCUGAUUCUCUCCAUAUGUGUGCCUUUACUCCUGUACUUGUCCCUGCACUCUGUAACUGAUUGGGGCAGGAUCUCAGGUCUGAUAUCUAUACCCUGGUUCCAGUUAAAUCAGCUCCAAGCUCCCAGGGGGUCCUAUGUGAUCAGGAAUAAAUUGGAUUUCUCUCAGAGGAAAGGGAGUUAGAAAUCCAGAACUUUUUAUAGAUAAAAAUUGCUGCAAAAGGAAGAAAACCAUUGAAAGCCAAAAGCACUGAGGGGAUGCAGACCAUAGAGUCUUUCUUAUUGUAGAAGAUUUUAAAGACCCUGGUAGGCAAUGAAGGCUAUGCAUCGUCUUAAUAUUCUAGUGGUUUGCAGGACCCAAAUCUGCCCCAAGAAAGGCAUGAUUGUGUGUGCAAUCAGCAGGGAGUACUACUUCAUCUGGAUCUGACUCUGUCUCUAUUAUGUGUCUAUGAGGAUGGUCCUCAGGUUAACUGUCAGUCACAGACUUAUCCAGCGUCUUCAGUACCAGACCACUCUUAGAGAAGUUAACUUCUCUUGGACAGUGACGCACCCUGUCUGAAAUGUAGACAGAGCUGAGCAAGGAAUUGGGGUCAGUCAAUGCAAGACUCAUGUUUUCUCUUCUCCAGACCAUUUCACAGUGAACCUGGAAAGAAGUUCUCAUGCCCAGUUUCCAGGCCGGACUCUUGGGUACCAACCUACUGAUAACAGACUUUGCAGAGACUGUGUCGAAUGGCAAUGCUCCUCACAUGCACUUACAUGUGCCUGCUCAGUGCACAAAACCACAUGGGAGACUCCAGGAUACCAAACACUUUGAAGAACAGACAAUAGUCAAGUGUGUAGGUGAUGUUGAGUUCAUUCCAAGUCUAAGACAUGCAAAGGAGUGACCUGGGUGUAUUGCUGAGACCACGGGUCACAUCUUCACUAACUGGCAGCAUGCUGUAGAUUUUACCAGAAGUCACACUUAUGUGGAUGGAGAGGCUAGAUAAGUUUCUAAGUAAAGGAAACAGAGCACUUCUCUCUAUACACUGAGGACUGUCUGUGGAAGCCAGUUGCCACAAGACACACCACACCCUUUCCACAAGAAACCAAGACUUCGUGGACCCAAGCCUGCCUGUUUUGUCAAUAUCUUUGGAGUCAAAGUUGAGGCUGGGAGCUCUUGGCCACCAGUUCCAGCCACCGCAUCUACUGCUUUCUGCCAUGCUGCUUCUGUCAUUACAAACUCAAACCUGCUGGCACCAUAAGACAAAAUAAAUGAUUUUUUUAUGUCUAA
rnacentral:lncRNA from 1 species